rnacentral:rRNA from 1 species
UUUCAACGGAGAGUUUGAUCCUGGCUCAGGACGAACGCUGGCGGCGUGCUUAACACAUGCAAGUCGAGCGGUAAGGCCCUUCGGGGUACACGA